GAAGGUCAUUUUGGUAAAUUAAAGUGUUGAUCUUCAGCUUCAUUUUGGGGAAGGUGAAGUAUCAAUUGAUCAAUUUCGAGUCUCGAAUUCGAUCCAUUCAUUUUCUUCAAAUUACUUGACACUUGAAACUCUAGGGUUCGGUUAGAUCGUAAUAGGACAAUUGAAAAAUGUCUCAAAACGCCAAAUUGAUGCCCAAUCUUGAUCAACAAAGCACCAAACUCCUCAAUCUCACUGUUCUUCAGCGAAUCGACCCUUUCAUUGAAGAAAUUCUCAUCACUGCUGCUCAUGUUACCUUCUACGAGUUCAAUAUUGACCUCAGUCAAUGGAGUCGCAAGGAUGUUGAAGGAUCUCUGUUUGUUGUCAAAAGGAAUACGCAACCUCGGUUUCAAUUUGUUGUGAUGAAUCGACGUAAUACAGAUAAUUUGGUCGAAAAUCUCUUGGGAGAUUUUGAGUAUGAAGUCCAGGUCCCAUAUUUAUUAUAUCGAAAUGCAUCUCAAGAAGUAAAUGGUAUUUGGUUCUACAAUGCACGUGAAUGUGAAGAGGUUGCAAAUCUCUUUAACAGAAUACUUAAUGCAUAUGUCAAGGUGCCUCAAAAGUCAAUGGUAUCAUCUUCUAAAAGUGAGUUUGAGGAAUUGGAAGCUGUUCCAACUAUGGCAGUCAUGGAUGGUCCUCUGGAGCCAUCAUCAUCAACUGCAUCCAAUGCUGCUGACGCCCCUGAUGAUCCUGCUUUUGUGAACUUCUUCAGUACAGCAAUGAAUGUUGGGAGUGCUUCAAAUGCAACAGUUGCUGGCCAACCUUACCAAUCUUCUACACUGAUACAUCCACCUUCCAAUUCAGCCACGGUUGCCUCUCCUGUUGUGCCAACCUUGCAAAUACCAUCACCUUCUCUGUCAGCAUCUGUACCCUUAAUGCCGCUACUUGACCCUGAGUGCAGCAGCAAUCGCACGGCUAAUCUUGUGAAGCCUUCGUCAUUCUUUGUGCCUCCUCCUUCAGCUUCUGCCAGGAUGAUGCCCCCUGUCUCAUCAUCUAUCCCCACAGCUCCACCUCUGAAUCCUCCCUCAAGUCUGCAACGCCCAUAUGGUGCCCCAUUGCUUCAACCAUUUCCUCCACCAACUCCACCACCAUCUCUUACUCCUGUUCUUACUCCAAACUAUGGAGCAGGUAUCAGCAAAGAAAAAGUCCGAGAUGCACUACUAGCACUUGUUCAGGACAAUGAAUUCAUUGACAUGUUCUAUCGAGCUCUGCUGAAUGCACAUCAUUCUUGACUGGUUGAAAGCAGCAUUGCAAUGUAGUAGUUGCGGGAAUUUUUGUUCAUUGUGUAGCUCUCUACAAGUAUGUGAGACCCAAUUUGUAUAGCAUUUUGCACUGCCUCUGUGGUUUUGAUGGAGUAAAUGCUGAUUCUGGUUUGCAGUCUGGAUUUAUCAACAAUUACAGUGAGCAAAGUCUAGUUGUCUUGUUUAUUAUAUUAUAUAACUUAGGUUGUUAAUUUUAUCACAUCAAACAAGUUAAUAUUAAAUGUUUAACUAUACAAAGGUUUUUCUGCUGGUUAUAUUUAUUUAAGUUUUAUAAUUGUAUA